rnacentral:hammerhead_ribozyme from 1 species
GCACUGCUGAGGAAUCCCACAAUAGGAUGAAACGGUCGUUCAGUGC